rnacentral:rRNA from 1 species
GUUAAGCUGACGAGUGGCGAACGGGUGAGUAAUAUAUCGGAACGUGCCCAGUCGUGGGGGAUAACGCAGCGAAAGCUGUGCUAAUACCGCAUACGACCUCUGGAUGAAAGCGGGGGACCUUCGGGCCUCGCGCGAUUGGAGCGGCCGAUAUCAGAUUAGCUAGUUGGCGGGGUAAAGGCCCACCAAGGCGACGAUCUGUAGCUGGUCUGAGAGGACGACCAGCCACACUGGAACUGAGACACGGUCCAGACUCCUACGGGAGGCAGCAGUGGGGAAUUUUGGACAAUGGGCGCAAGCCUGAUCCAGCAAUGCCGCGUGCAGGAUGAAGGCCUUCGGGUUGUAAACUGCUUUUGUACGGAACGAAAAGGUCUGCCCUAAUACGGUGGGCCCAUGACGGUACCGUAAGAAUAAGCACCGGCUAACUACGUGCCAGCAGCCGCGGUAAUACGUAGGGUGCGAGCGUUAAUCGGAAUUACUGGGCGUAAAGCGUGCGCAGGCGGUUAUAUAAGACAGAUGUGAAAUCCCCGGGCUCAACCUGGGACCUGCAUUUGUGACUGUAUAGCUAGAGUACGGUAGAGGGGGAUGGAAUUC